GUCAUGCAUCUCUAAUCACAUGCCCACAAGCAGCACCUGCCUGACAGGUGUGCUGGAGAAUACAUGAACUGCUCUGGCACUAAGAAUACAGCAAGGCCUCUGACCUCUUACAUUAGUGUGGGGGAGAUGCCAACAGAUCAGUCAACAGAUAAAAAACACACAACAUCAUAUUUUGAUAGUGUCAAGUGCUCCAAAGAAAAUAAACCCGAGUAAUGAGAUAAGUAAUGACAAGUGGGGUGGAGGGUAUAGUCAAUGGUAGCCAGGGGAGAUGGCAUUUGAGUUUAGAUUUAAAGGUCAAGAAGGAUCCUGGCAUGCCAUAUCUGAAAGAAGAGUUCCUGAAGCAGCAGGACAGGAGGUGCAAAGGUCCUGAGGCAAGAGUGAGCAUGGCCUAUUAGAGUCCAUAAAUGACACCUGCCCUUCAGGUGUGUGGGAGAUACCGGAACUGUCUGGGGCAUCAUUGCAAAUGAAGCCUGAUGUGUAAGAAGUGUCUUAUGAGAGGACUGCCCCGAUCUCUACAGGAUGGUUCAGAGAAGUGAGGACAACAAAAAAGAGCUGAAGCAGGAUAAAGCUUGGCAAGAGACCUAAAGGGAGCCACGCACCCCUCCAGGCUGACCUUGCCUUCUGGGUUGGCUUAGCAGUGACAUGCAAACUGAUGUGUUAAAACUCUUAUCCUGUGGAGAGGCUCAAUGUACAAGGAGCAGAGGCCCUCAGUCAAACAUCCUAUAAGAAACUGAAUCCCGACAACAACCAUAGCACGCCUAGAAGUGGAUCAUCUCCAUCCCCAAGGACACCUCUACUAUAGCUUGCAACAGUCUGGGUCUUUGUAUAUGCUGCGUCAGACUGGGACCAUCCUUCAUACUUUUUAGGUCUGCUAAACUUCCACCUGUCCUCCGGGAUACCAGACCAGAUGUCUCUUCCUCCAGGGAGCCCUCUUUGAUUGCCUUCCUCUGUGCUCCCAUAACACAUCACCAUCCCACUGCAUAUCACAUUUGUAAAGGAUGGUAACGAUCUUGUAAAGGAAGGACAACAUGCCUGCUCUUUCAGUGUCGGUGGACGAUGAGGCCAGGGCCCAUGGACUCCACGCACACACGGUGGGACCAGCCACACCCACUUCUAAUGGGGACAGACCAGCAGGCACUACGGGGAGGAAAGCAAGGAGAAUAUUUAUUUGAAUUCUGCAAGACUGAAUCAUAAGCUCUUGGACUAAAAGAAAAAGCACAUUCUUACCACUGAGGUAGCACUGUGUUGUCAUUAAUUCAGAAGCCCCUUUCAGAAGCUCCACAGGACACAAACCAGAACAAUCACAGAUUCUCUCAGCUGCAGGUUCUAAAUGGAGUAUAUGAGAAAGGGGUUUCUGUAAUGCCAGCAUAUGCCCAGCCUUUGCUUAGCCACAUAGUCAGGCUCAACCUGCUCUGGCCCAAUGCCGGUGAACAAGCAGCAGACAAUCCAUCACGACCCCUUCUCUAGUCAAGUAGAAAUAGCCUGCAGCCCCCUCACCCUCAU